GUCAUCACGUUCUUCCGUCAUCCCAUUACGAAGGCGGGACCAUGGAAGAAAGCCGUAUGACGUCUACACUGACGUUUUAAAUGGUUUUCCCCGCACAUGUUACUCCGUUACUAUGUACUGAAGAACCCGCAGUUACCGUCAGAGCUUUUGUUUGUUUUUCAUUAGAAAUGUAUUGCUUAAAAAUCGUUGUUAGGAGUAACUUAGGAGUGGACUGCCAUUGUUACAAAAUUCUACACCUGUACAACAGACAGCAUUCUAACUGACUGUAUUACUGUGUGCUACAGCAUUUUCUUUACCCAUGACCAGAAGGCUCUCCAAAGAGUGGUGGGAACAGCAGAUCUCAUCAUAGGCAAUAAGCUCCCAGCCUUAUAGAAAACAACAACAAACAGCAGCAGUGUGGCUCACUGGGUCAGAUUCCCCUCCUGAAACACAGACGGCCCAAUCCAAGAUCAACGCAUAAGUCUCCCAAGCAUUUGUGUUCUGUCUCCAGUGACACAGCAGUAUUUUUCUCAAUGUGCAACACUGACUGCCAAGUGUGAUAUCUGUCUGUCACGAACGGCCAUCAAUUGAGAAACAUUUUUUUAAUUCAUAUUUUGCAUUUUAUAUUUUUGCAUUUGAUUUUUUUUUGAUUUUGUAUAAUUUUACUGUCAUUUAUUUUUAUUCAUUUGAUUCCUUUUUUACUUAAAUUCUGUAUGUAAUGUAGUUUUGCUGUACGGAUACAUAGGAAUUCACUUUAAUUAAAUGUUCCGUGCGCUAUCUUGUUAAAGCCAAAGGAAAAACCAAUACCAGUAAGGGAGGCGGAAGGAAGAAAUGCCACACUGGGCUGCCGGCAUCCGAGCCCCAUGACCACAUCCGCUGCCACGGCAACUGCUCCCAUCCCAGGGGCAACCAGCAGGGGUCAGCAGGGUGCAGGACGCUGUAGAAAUACAAUGUGAGACCUUUCAGGACACAGAAAGAAAUUUAAAAGAUGGAAGGGGCCAUAUUCUAAGAACUUAGCGAAAGCUACUAUUAACACCCCAUUAACACAACCCCGGGGAACUCCUUUGAUUCCACCCAUGUGGGAGCCAAGAUCCUGUUUGAGGAUCUCAGCCAGACUGAUGAUGAGACAACUGACAUCCUACAUCGAGCCCCACCAGUGUCACAGUCUGAGCUCUGCUCACCUACCUUUUCUUCCACAGCGUUUUUAUUUCCUUCACCAGUCUGGUCCUCUUUUGUGUCACCUCCUUCACCAUCUUGUUUUAUGGACUCCUUCAUCCCCGCGAGUAGCAUCACCUGUAAGCCCAGCUCCAGGUUCAUCUUCACCUCCAGCCAUGCAACUUCCCACCCAUCUGUGUCACGGUUCCAGCACAGGCUACUGUGACCGAAACGCAUAGAAAUGAUGAAGAUGAGAACAUAGUUCCCAGUGAUAUGCUGGACCAGCUGAGCGCCAUCUCUGCGGUCCCGGACAUGGCUUUGAAGAUGGGCUAUAUAUCUCAUGUAAAUAGUUACAUAUUCAUAGAUCCUGCAAAUAGUUAGGCUACAGAUAAAAGUACUAGAUAAAAUAAGAUUAAGGUAGUAUACGUUAAGAUAAGGUUAAAAUAAGACUGUAGAACAUAUGAUAAUACAGAAUAAGAUAAGAUCAAGAUAGGAUGGGUUAAGUAUAACAUAAGAUUUAAUAGCGUAAGAUGAGUUUAAGGUAGUAUAUGUUAAGAAUAAGAUAAGAUUGUAUAACAUAGGAUAACAUAGAUUAAGAUAAAAUAAGAUUAAGAUAGAAUAGUUUAAUAUAAGAUUUUAUGUUAUUUGUCCAGAGGGAAAUUGUUGAGAUUUUUAUUCCUAUUUCAUAUUGUUUUAUUUCUUCUAAAUAAAUAUGAAUUAAUUAUGAA